GACGAACGCUGGCGGCGUGCUUAACACAUGCAAGUCGAACGGAAAGGCCCUGCUUUUGUUGGUUGCUCGAUUGGCGAACGGGUGAGUAACACGUGAGUAACCUGCCCUUGACUUUGGGAUAACUUCAGGAAACUGGGGCUAAUACCGGAUAUGAGCUCCUGCUGCAUGGUGUGGGUUGGAAAGUUUCGGCGGUUGGGGAUGGACUCGCGGCUUAUCAGCUUGUUGGUGGGGUAGUGGCUUACCAAGGCUUUGACGGGUAGCCGGCCUGAGAGGGUGACCGGCCACAUUGGGACUGAGAUACGGACCAGACUCCUACGGGAGGCAGCAGUGGGGAAUAUUGCACAAUGGGCGGAAGCCUGAUGCAGAAACGCCGCGUGCGGGAUGACGGCCUUCGGGUUGUAAACCGCUUUCGCCUGUGACGAAGAGUGAGUGACGGUAAUGGGUAAAGAAGCACCGGCUAACUACGUG
rnacentral:rRNA from 1 species